rnacentral:rRNA from 1 species
CACGUAGUUAGCCGGGGCUUCUUAGUCAGGUACCGUCAUUUUCUUCCCUGCUGAUAGAGCUUUACAUACCGAAAUACUUCUUCACUCACGCGGCGUCGCUGCAUCAGGGUUUCCCCCAUUGUGCAAUAUUCCCCACUGCUGCCUCCCGUAGGAGUUUGGGCCGUUUGUCUCAGUCCCAAUGUGGCCGGUCACCCUCUCAGGUCGGCUACUGAUCGUCGGCUUGGUGGGCCGUUACCCCGCCAACUACCUAAUCAGACGCGGGUCCAUCCUGUACCACCGGAGUUUUCACACCGGACCAUGCGGUCCUGUGCGCUUAUGCGGUAUUAGCAGUCAUUUCUAACUGUUGUCCCCCUGUACAGGGCAGGUUACCCACGCGUUACUCACCCGUCCGCCACUCAGUCAUCCCGGAUUCCAUCCGAAAACUUCCUCCGGCAUGCUUCGUUCGACUUGCAUGUGUUAGGCACGCCGCCAGCGUUCAUCCUGACGUCCAGGACUACCGAAAACUCUCUGACGAC